GUUUUGAAUUCAGGCUGCAAGAUCAACUGUACCUAGAACAUAGAUACAGAGACACUUGUCAUCAGGAAGGUGCUCUCUCAGCACAACGGAAAAUAUCCCAAUGACUUGACAUGUUCUGGUUGUGAAUUCAGGCUACAAGGGGUCAGUGCUCUAAAAUGAGUCUCUCUGGGGAGAGAGAGGAGGGGGGC